AACGAACGCUGGCGGCAUGCCUAACACAUGCAAGUCGAACGAGACCUUCGGGUCUAGUGGCGCACGGGUGCGUAACGCGUGGGAACCUGCCCUUAGGUUCGGAAUCACUCCCCGAAAGGGGUGCUAAUACCGGAUAAUGUCUUCGGACCAAAGAUUUAUCGCCUUUGGAUGGGCCCGCGUUGGAUUAGCUAGUUGGUAGGGUAAAAGCCUACCAAGGCGACGAUCCAUAGCUGGUCUGGGAGGAUGAUCAGCCACACUGGGACUGAGACACGGCCCAGACUCCUACGGGAGGCAGCAGUGGGGAAUAUUGGACAAUGGGCGAAAGCCUGAUCCAGCAAUGCCGCGUGAGUGAUGAAGGCCUUAGGGUUGUAAAGCUCUUUUACCCGGGAUGAUAAUGACAGUACCGGGAGAAUAAGCUCCGGCUAACUCCGUG
rnacentral:rRNA from 1 species